rnacentral:rRNA from 1 species
CCUACGGGCGGCUGCAGUCGAGAAUUUUUCACAAUGGGGGAAACCCUGAUGGAGCGACGCCGCGUGGGGGAUGAAUGGCUUCGGCCCGUAAACCCCUGUCAUUUGUGAUCAAUGCAGCCGGCUCAAUAGGUCGGCUGCUGAUAGUAGCAGAAGAGGAAGGGACGGCUAACUCUGUGCCAGCAGCCGCGGUAAUACAGAGGUCCCGAGCGUUGUUCGGAAUUACUGGGCGUAAAGGGCGCGUAGGCGGCACGGCAAGUUGAAAGUCAAACACUGCGGCUCAACCGCGGUUCGCUUUCAAAACUGCCGCGCUAGAGGGUUGCAGAAGAAACUGGAAUUUUCGGUGUAGCAGUGAAAUGCGUAGAUAUCGAAAGGAACAUCAGUGGCGAAAGCGAGUUUCUAGGCAAUUCCAGACGCUGAGGCGCGAAAGCCAAGGUAGCAAACGGGAUUAGAUACCCGUGUAGUC